GGCUCUGUGGUGAAAUUCAUGUUGAGUUGCAAGCUCAUCGAUGUACAUUAAGAGUGUACCGGAGUCU
rnacentral:tRNA from 1 species